CUGUUCCUGGAGAUCCCUCCUCAUGGAGUUUUUGCAAGCCCACAACGCCGCGGUAUUGCUCUGUAGCACACAGGAGUAUAUCAUGCUUAGCAGAGGGAAGGUGUACAGCCAACCAGAAAACCCCUUUGGCCCAAUGCUGCUGCACUCUAUCCUGGCCAACUGCCAUGACGACUUUCUGCUUUCUGUGUAAAAAACCAGCACGUUUUUUAUUCAUAAGGUGACUGUUUAGGAAGAGUUAAUACAGAUGGUACUUCGGUAUGUGGCUUCUGCUUCUGGCUGAUGCUGGGAUUGGUUUCAUUUUCAUUUUAUUAUGAAGAUAUCUUGCUUAGGAAAUCAGCAGUGGGCUCCAGCUGCUCUGAUUGUGCCAGUUCAUCCUUUCUUCCUUGAAUGUGGAUCACAGGAAUCUCAGGAGUAAUUAACACAAGUGUGUCCUGGUUUGGCCAACAGAAGGAUUUUCAGCUGGAACAGAAUAGAAUCCAUUUCACCUUGGCAUUGAAGAAAGGAAGGAGACCUGCUAUUACUUGGAUUGGUAUUUUUUGCAAACACUACAAUGAUGUGUGGAAACAUUAAAUCUAAAGAUGGAUAUGAAAAGUGGAAAUCCAAAACCUGGUUAUAGUGAUUUGUGGGCUCCAUGGAAACUGGGCUUGCUGUCAUCAACCUGAGUUGCAGAUACGGAGAUUUGGGCAACUCUAAGAAUGAAAUCACAUUUUAACCUUUUAUUUCAUAUGCCUCAGUGCAUUUGGGUUAUAAACCUUGAGAUCUUGGCUUUGGCAGCAACAGCUUUUGCUGGAGAUGUUGUAUACUUAAGCAUGUUGGAAUGGGAACAUCUUGGUCUUUUCUGAGUGCUCCAGUGCCCCGCUCUUAGGAAGAAAGCAGCUGUUAUCUCCUUGCCACCUUAUUCUUUGUGUAGUCAAACAAAUGUUAUGAGAUGGAUGGAAGUAGGUAUAAUUCUCUUAUGGAUUCCAUCUUCUGCCUGCAUGCAUGUAUUGCCUCAACCUGCUGGUAUUAGAUCUGGAAAGCACAGGUUAAGAAAUCCCUGCUGUUCUGGGUUAUGUGAAGAGUGGGGGAGGAAUUGAGAACAACAAAUUAAAACGAAUCUCAUCUCCUAAAAUAUUUGAUUACGCAUACUCAAUUUAUUAUGCAGAGCUGCCCUUUUAAGCAUGUGCAAGCUGGUAGGGUAAGCAGGGCUAUGGGGGGAGGAGGAGAAGCAGCCCCAAAUUGGUUCUGUAAGAGAACAACCGCUUUCUGUAAUCUGCUGUAGUAAUAGCUUGGAAGACAGCCCU
ensembl:lncRNA